rnacentral:lncRNA from 1 species
GUUUCUUCGUGAAAGAAGAACAUGGCCAUGCAUACCCUUGAUAGGUGGUCAAGGUUUUAUAGAUGUUUCAUGAUAUUUUUAUCAACCAAUUCUAAUUUGCACAUCCAGCAUCGUCAACUUUCUUAGCAUGGCUUUACCAGGUAUAAUUGGCAAUUCACUUGGUGAGUUUGACAGUACUAUUCAAUACUCAAGUUCCUUUCAGUGUGAAACUUUCCUAUUAGUAGCUGGAUUUCAGGCUUGCUUUUUUCAAUGUGAAAGGAGUUUUUAUGGAAGCAAGACACCAAAUUUGACAUGGUCAUCUCUCUCUUUGUCAUGCAGACUACGAGCGAUGGUGCACCAAGCAACUCGGGGGAAGCAGCUGAUUUCGGUGACGAUUUGAUCGAUCUUGAUGAUCUAUUGGACGACGACACUUUUAUGUCUACGGCACCUUGAAUUCUGUAUUGAUAAUAUACCAUGUGUGAAUUAGCAUUUGUUACAUGGCUAUUAGAGUUGUAAAUAGGCUGCACUAACUAGUUUGUAAAUCUGAAACCAGAGUGACAAAGGUAUUUGAGAUUUAAAGGUAGUGCAGAUUGUCAAGUUCUAUCCUCCCCCCCCC